UUUUUCUUUGUAACGGGCUGUUGCUAGGAACGCGAGAUUCAUAACAUAGAAUUUUAAACAAAAAAUUGUCUCAGAUUAGUUAUUUCACCGGUAAGCAGCUGUGUAAUACACAGGAUGAUGUAGAGAGCUGGUUAGAUCAUGGGUAGAAGCCAGACACGGAGCUGAUGGGGUUCUAUCCGUCUUGUCGGCGUUUAUUUCACUCUAGCUAUGACAACCUGCUAACAAUAUAUUAUCCUUACAUACAUCUUACAUGUGAAAAGUAAUCCCAUGAGCUCUUGUUUCCUUACAGCUCUCAUUAGAGCAUCCAUAGGCUGAACAGAAGUCCGGCAUCUUUAAAUAACUAUGCUGGAGUCAGAGGGAGAUAGUGUGUAGCUUAAGUGUUGAGUGGCAAAACCAGCAUUGUAAAAAUAUCUGAGCACAUUGUAUAGUAGCUACACCUGUGACGUUUCUAAAAAAUCAAACAGUUUGGCAAUCGGUUCAAAAUUCAGCGAAUAAUUCCACUUUGAGAUUCAGCAGUACCUCUUGCCUCCGUAGAUGUCUAUGCACUGCUGCCUCCGCUGGCCCCGGUUCAAGAUGGCGGCGCUGUAAGCACGUCUCUCGACAGCCUAUGAGGCGUCUAUGUAUAUAUGUCUAUGUGUUUAGCUGCCUGCCUGGCUAAAUACUGGAGCUAUGUCAAAAAUUAAUUUCUCCAUCACUCACAUGUAUGAAAUGACAUGAAAACAGACCCCAGGUUGAAAAAAAACGAAGUUCCCCUUUAAGGCGAAGUGCGUCUGAAGUGAUUUUUUAUUUUUUAUUUUCUAUGUUAGUAUUUUUUGAAUGUCAGCGCUGGCCAAUCAUGUUCUACUGUAACAUCAUGUUAUACUGUAACAUGAUUGGCCAGCGCUAUCGUCAUGGCAUAGUUCUGACCAACCGGGUUGAGCCCUCAUAGAAGACGGGAGCUGGCGGUCUUUCAUUUCCAUUGCGAGGAAAAGCUUGGUUUGAAAAUGUAUGCAUAUGUGCGAUACAUUGCUGACAAUGUCCACAAGACUGUGUCCACAAAAGAAAUCGAAAAUUUCCAUCCCCGAAAUCUGGAUGACUUCAAUGCCAAGAAGCGGUAUAAAAUCCUCUGCAGAAGAACCCCAGAGGAAAGCGGCUCUUAUUAUUAUGGGCAAAUUUUAAAAUUGGCAGGGAUCCUGAAACAAUCUCUCCCCCAGUCUGGAGAAACAGAUCUGGAAGGACCUGACGUGAUCACCCCAGAGCUGGACGAAGAAGGAAAAGUAACCAUUUCACACACAGUUUUGGUUUGAUAAUGUCUUUCAAAGGGAUGUAGUAUACCAUUUGAAAGAUUGAUCAUUAUUAAUAGGGUUGUAUGGGGUCACGGUAAUACCGUUUAAUAACGUUGUUAAAAAAUGUUGAUGGUAUUAACAAUGCUGUCGGUGUCGUCAUGGUUUGGUGCGCCGUCACAUACUGUAAUGUUGCUGGCUACAGAUUUCUGUCGUAGGCAUGAGCACUGAGCAGUGUGUGGAGUCUGGAUAGUCUCGAUAGCAGAUUGUCCUCAAAUUUUUUCCAGUAUUAGCACUCAGUGACCUUAAGGUGUGGAGGCUGACAUGACAUUUGGCCGGAGUUCUCCUUUAAGUCUCAGGUCUAACAGAACACUUGUUUUUAUUUUUAUAGAUCAAACUUGGCCCAGGAGUUUCCCUGAACAAGGAGAAAUGGCAGAGGGUGCAGGAAGUAAAAUCAAACUCCCAAUUCUUCAAGUCGUUGGCAGUUUGCAUUUGGGGCACAGAGGGACUGAGGGAGAGAAGCGUCACAGGGGCCAAAUCAAACACGGUCAAAGACUCUGUCCCCAAGCGCAUAGCCGUCAGUUUAGGGGGGACGGUGGGGAUGUGUCCCCCCCACUUCUUGUCAGGGGUCAUUUUGUCUUCACCACAU